rnacentral:rRNA from 1 species
GACGAACGCUGGCGGCGUGCUUAACACAUGCAAGUCGAACGGAAAGGCCCUGCUUGCAGGGUACUUGAGUGGCGAACGGGUGAGUAACACGUGGGUGAUCUGCCCUGCACUUCGGGAUAAGCCUGGGAAACUGGGUUUAAUACCGGAUAGGAGCCAUUUUUAGUGUGAUGGUUGGAAAGUUUUUUCGGUGUAGGAUGAGCUCGCGGCCUACCAGCUUGUUGGUGGGGUAAUGGCCUACCAAGGCGGCGACGGGUAGCCGGCCUGAGAGGGUGGACAGCCACAUUGGGACUGGGAUACGGCCCAGACUCCUACGGGAGGCAGCAGUGGGGAAUAUUGCACAAUGGGCGCAAACCUGAUGCAGCGACGCCGCGUGGGGGGUGACGGGCUUCGGGUUGUAAACUCCUUUCGCUAGGGACGAAGCUUUUUGUGACGGUACCUAGAUAAGAAGCACCGGCUAACUACGUG